AGAACGAACGCUGGCGGCAUGCCUAAUACAUGCAAGUCGAACGAGAUCUUCGGAUCUAGUGGCGCACGGGUGCGUAACGCGUGGGAAUCUACCCUUGGGUUCGGAAUAACAGUUGGAAACGACUGCUAAUACCGGAUGAUGACGAAAGUCCAAAGAUUUAUCGCCCAGGGAUGAGCCCGCGUAGGAUUAGCUAGUUGGUGAGGUAAAGGCUCACCAAGGCUACGAUCCUUAGCUGGUCUGAGAGGAUGAUCAGCCACACUGGGACUGAGACACGGCCCAGACUCCUACGGGAGGCAGCAGUAGGGAAUAUUGGACAAUGGGGGGCAACCCGUGAUCCAGCAAUGCCGCGUGAGUGAUGAAGGCCUUAGGUUGUAAAGCUCUUUUACCCGAGAUGAUAAUGACAGUAUCGGGGAAUAAGCUACCGGCUUAACCGUCCGCGACCAGCACGCCCGCGU
rnacentral:rRNA from 1 species